ACCAGGAUCGUGGGAUGGCACGAUCGUCCAUUGGGCGAGAUGCGUGGGUACUAAGUUCCCUUUGUAAUCAGCGAGCCGAUGCGCUCAAAAUAACAAAACAACAGAAAAGCUGCAGUUGUGUGGCGCAAAACCCUCUCUGUCAGUUACACCUCUUCUCUCUCUAACCUUCGAUCCUUCGUCGUCGGCGUUCCGGCCCAGCUCGGCAACAACAAGUGCCAUCAGAGCCUCGGUGGUGUUCGAUCCAUCCUGGGUGCCGGCGGUGUUUGAUCUGUCGGAGAGAUGGCCGGAAGCAACGAUGGGAAGGCGAAGGAGAAGCAGGAAGAGGAACAAGCCGCGGGGGAGGCCGCGACUCUGGACAAGACCGUGGCGCGUCUCUUCACUUUGGAGGGAUCGGGGGUGCGCAUCGUCGAGCGCGUUGUUCAUGGCGGCGGGGGAGGAGCACCUCCGAUGAUGCUCACCUGCACCAACUACACCGACUGGGCCAUGAUUACAAAGCUUCAGCUGCAGGCUGACGAGCUGUGGCAGGUGGUGGAAACCGGUCAGGGAUCGGACCGCGACGACAGGCGAGCCAUGAUCGCUCUCCUCAAGGGAGUGCCGCCGGAACUCAUGCGCAUCCUGGGCGCAAAGGCCACGGCCAAGCAGGCGUGGGACACUCUGAAGACCAUGCGCGUCGGAGUUGAGCGCGUGCGAGAGGCCAAGGCGCAGACUCGUCGAUCCGAGUACGAGUCACUCCGGUACAAGGACGGCGAAGGGUUUGAGUCGUAUGUCAUGCGACUCAGAACGAUCAUCGAUGAGCUAGAAGCUCUCGGUGAUCCGGUUGACGAACACAAGGCGGUGCUCAAGGUGCUGCGAACAGUCCCACGGUCGUAUCGGGAGAUGGCCGUGGCGAUCGAGUCGCUUGUGGACACAAAGCAGCUCUCCCUCGAGGAACUAUGCGGGCGCGAGCGCGAGGAGACACCAACUCCAGGCACACAAUUGCUCUUCACUGCCGACGAGUGGCGAGCGUGCGAGAAACUGUUUGAUCAGGCUGGUGGAUCUUCAGGCACUGGAGAUCGUUGUGGACGCGGAAAUGGCAAGCCCAAGAAUCUCCAAGGUGGGGAUGGCCGUGGCCAAGGCGGUGGCCGUGGCAACGGUGGCCCGGCGACGCCCAAGUGCAAGGGAAACUGUCGCUACUGUGGCAUUCCAGGGCAUUGGCUGAAGGAGUGUCGCAAAAGGGAAAGAGACCAACGCGAGCAGCCGGAGCAGCAGGCGAACGUCGCACAGGUUGACGUCGAGCAGCCAGGCCUGCUCCUCGCCACCUGUAUGGUGACCAGCAAGGACUCCGAGGGAAUCGACACGCAUGGAGCAGGAACGGAGAUCUUCCUCAACGAGGCACAGGUCGUGCCGACGGCAAUCGACGACGACUGCUGGUACCUUGACACUAGUGCCAGCAACCACAUGACAGGGCGGCGCGACAUGAUCUCGGAGCUGGAUCAUUCAGUACGAGGUACAAUCCGUUUCGGCGAUGGCUCUGUUGUACAGAUCUGUUGGCGUGGUGUCGUGUUCACGUGCAGCAAUGGCGAGCAACGAGCACUAGCAGAUGUCUACUACAUACCAAAGCUGCGCACAAGCAUCAUCAGUCUCGGACAGCUUGAUGAGAACGGGUGCAAAUCCGUGAUCGUAUGACAGGCAGAAGAUGCUGCUGACACGGGUGCGGCGGACGAGCAACCGACUACGCCGUGGCUCUGAAAUUGGCAGCGCCCGUGUGCCUGCUGGCCGGAGUGAAGGAUGAGGCCUGGAGGUGGCACGCCAGGUUUGGGCACCUGCACUUCCGCGCCCUACACGAGCUCGGAGCAAGGAGCAUGGUACGCGGGAUGCCAACGAUUGGGCACCCUCACCAGUUCUGCGAAGGCUGCACCAUCGGGAAGAUGCAUCGCGCGCCUUUCCCUCGCUCAUCGUUGUAUCGCGCGGAGCAGGCACUCGAGCUAGUCCAUGACGACCUCUGCGGCCCCAUCACUCCGGCAACAUCCACUGGUAACAAGUACUUCCUCCUCAUCGUCGAUGAUUAUAGCAGAUAUAUGUGGCUGGAGGUACUCAAGAGCAAAGACGAAGCUUUCCGAUACUUCAAGAAGAUCAAGGCCCGAGCCGAAGUGGAGAGCCAAUCCAGGCUCCGGGCGUUCCGCACAGACAGAGGUGGUGAAUUCACCUCAUCUAAAUUGAACAUCUACCGUGAGGAGUUGGGGAUUCAGAGAAACACAACGACGCCGUACUCUCCCCAGCAAAACGGAGUCGUCGAGCGGCGGAACCAAUCAGUGGUGGAGGUGGCGCACAGCCUGAUGAAGGCCAUGGACGUGCCCUGCUCGUUCUGGGGCGAGGUCGUGCGCACCGCGGUUCACAUUCUGAACCGAUCACCGACGAGAAGCUUGCAAGGCGUCACCCUGUAUGAAGCAUGGCGCAAGAAGAAACCCGCCGUCGAUUACUUCCGCACCUUCGGGUGUGUGGCACAUGUGAAGCUCGUCGGACCCGGCGUCACCAAGCUCGCGGACAGGACGUGCCCGGGCAUCUUUCUGGGCUACGAACCUGGCACAAAGGGCUAUCGCGUGUACGAUCCAGUCAGCAAGCGCUUAUACAUCACGCGCGAUGUGCGCUUUGAGGAGGAUCGGCGUUGGGACUGGAGCAAGGACGCCCAAGACUCUGAACUCUCCCGUCAGAGGGAGCUCACGGUGGUGCGGAGGGGUGCCCAUGACAACCACGUAUACUGUGUCUGCACGACCAGAGACAUCGCCAGGCCCAUCAACAACAUCGAUGCCAGGCUCACCCGCUGAGCUGGCACAGUCACCAUGUUCAUCCGCCGGGGGCACGGAGGUGCCCGCUCCAGCCGGCUCUGACACUCCAUUGCCCUCAACUCCACCUGCAGUCGAUACGGACGGGUGGGUGUCUGCACCCAGCGGAGAGACGUUCGAUUCAGAGGGGGUGCCGCUGCACUACAAGACUGUCGAGCACCUCAUCGAUCACGCUCCUGCACGCACUCUCGAGUACAGUGGUCUGUGUCUGUCAGCAGCGGAAGAACCCUCAUCUGUCGAGGAUGCAUUGAGUGAGCCAGCGUGGCGUGCUGCCAUGGAAGCGGAGAUGGAGUCGAUCCGCGACAACGACACCUGGGAGCUUGCUCUGCUCCCUGACGGCCACCGUGCAAUUGGCCUGAAAUGGGUGUAUAAGGUUAUAAGAGGGAUCCAACAGGCAAUGUGGUGAAGCACAAAGCGCGUCUCGUUGCAAAGGGCUAUGCCCAGAGGCAGGGGAUCAAUUUUGAUGAAGUUUUUGCCCCGGUGGCACGGUUGGAGACAGUGAGGUUGCUGCUUGCUGUCGCUGCACAUCAGAGCUGGAGCGUGCAUCACAUGGAUGUUCGUUCAGCCUUCCUCAACGGCGAGCUUGAGGAGGAGGUAUAUGUGCAUCAGCCGGCCGGAUUCAUCGACGGCGACAAUGUACACAAGGUGCUUAAGCUGCGCAAGGCACUGUAUGGACUUCGGCAGGCGCCAAGAGCUUGGAAUUCUAAACUGGACACGACGCUCCAGUCACUGGGUUUUUCGCGAUGCAGGCUGGAUCAUGCCCUGUAUCGACGCGGGAGCAGCGAAGACUAUCUGUUGGUUGGGGUGUACGUCGAUGACUUGAUCAUCACGGGCACCAUUGACAGCGCCAUCAAGAGUUUCAAGACACAGAUGCGCGAACUAUUCCAGAUGAGUGACCUCGGCUUGCUAAGCUAUUACGUGGGCAUUGAAGUGAAACAAGAACAAGGCAAGAUCACAGUGUGUCAGUCCAGCUAUGCAGCAAAGAUUCUUGAAGACGAAGGCAUGAGGGAAUGUAACCCUAGCUUCGUGCCCAUGGAGAAUCGCCUGAAGGUUGGAAAGAACUGUGGUGAAGUGGUUGAUGCGACCAGGUAUCGCAGUGUCAUCGGGAGCUUGCGGUAUCUGGUUAAUACGCGCCCUGACAUAACAUAUGCAGUGGGAGUUGCGAGCAGGUUCAUGGAGGCACCUGGAAAACAACAUUGGGCAGUGAUCAGACAGAUUCUUAGGUAUAUCCAAGGGACUCUGGGCUAUGGCUGCACUUACAAGGCAGGAGGAGGAACCUCCCUGACAGGGUUCAGCGAUAGUGAUCAUGCUGGUGAUUUAACAGACAGGAAGAGUACAACUGGCAUAGCUUUCUUCCUGGGUCCAAGCAUCAUCACUUGGUGCUCUCGAACUGAUGAUCAGUUGGCAGACAUAUUGACGAAAGCACUUGGGGGCGCAAAAUUCACAGAGCUCCGGUGCAGGCUUGGAAUCAUUCAGGUGAAGGAAGAGCAACAGGAUUAGGGGGUGAUUUGAAGUGUAAUCCCGUUGCUAGAACGGAUACACCUUGCCGAAUAAUGGGGCCGGUAGCGUGCGGAUGUUCACGCCCGAGCUUCUCUGAACUUUGUCCCGUUUAUUUUGCUUUCAGUUAGCUAGAUAGCGUCGUCAGACCGCGUCAUGGGAUGGCAUGAUCAUAUGCAGGAUUGGCGGCGAUGUAGAAGCCUAGCGCUUGACCAGGAUCGUGGGAUGGCACGAUCGUCCAUUGGGCGAGAUGCGUGGGUACUAAGUUCCCUUUGUAAUCAGCGAGCCGAUGCGCUCAAAAUAACAAAACAACAGAAAAGCUGCAGUUGUGUGGCGCAAAACCCUCUCUGUCAGUUACACCUCUCCUCUCUCUAACCUUCGAUCCUUCGCCGUCGGCGUUCCGGCCCAGCUCGGCAACAACAUAAAUCGUGACAGAACUUUUACUAAAUGGGG
rnacentral:lncRNA from 1 species